UACGUAGGGACCGAGCGUUGUCCGGAAUCAUUGGGCGUAAAGAGCGUGUAGGCGGCCUUUUAAGUCCUGCGUGAAAUCCUGCGGCUCAACCGCAGACGGUCGUGGGAAACUGGAAGGCUAGAGUGCGGGAGAGGAGAGUGGAAUUCCCGGUGUAGCGGUGAAAUGCGCAGAUAGUCGGGAAGAACACCCGUGGCGAAGGCGGCUCUCUGGAACGCAACUGACGCUGAGACGCGAAAGCGUGGGGAGCAAACAGG
rnacentral:rRNA from 1 species